UACGGGGGGGGUAAGCGUUGUUCGGAAUUACUGGGCGUAAAGGGCUCGUAGGCGGCCAACUAAGUCAGACGUGAAAUCCCUCAGCUUAACUGGGGAACUGCGUCUGAUACUGGAUGGCUUGGAUUCGGGGGAGGAAUGCGGAAUUCCAGGUGUAGCGGUGAAAUGCGUAGAUAUCUGGAGGAACACCGGUGGCGAAGGCGGCAUUCUGGACCGACAUUGACGCUGAGGAGCUAAAGCCAGGGGAGCAAACGGG
rnacentral:rRNA from 1 species